rnacentral:rRNA from 1 species
GACGAACGCUGGCGGCGUGCCUAAUACAUGCAAGUAGAACGCUGAAGAGAGGAGCUUGCUCUUCUUGGAUGAGUUGCGAACGGGUGAGUAACGCGUAGGUAACCUGCCUUGUAGCGGGGGAUAACUAUUGGAAACGAUAGCUAAUACCGCAUAACAAUGGAUGACACAUGUCAUUUAUUUGAAAGGGGCAAUUGCUCCACUACAAGAUGGACCUGCGUUGUAUUAGCUAGUAGGUGAGGUAACGGCUCACCUAGGCGACGAUACAUAGCCGACCUGAGAGGGUGAUCGGCCACACUGGGACUGAGACACGGCCCAGACGCCUACGGGAGGCAGCAGUAGGGAAUCUUCGGCAAUGGGGGCAACCCUGACCGAGCAACGCCGCGUGAGGGAAGAAGGUUUUCGGAUCGUAAAGCUCGGUUGUAAGUCAAGAACGAGUGUGAGAGUGGAAAGUUCACACUGUGACGGUAGCUUACCAGAAAGGGACGGCUAACUACGUG